CUCCCUUGAGGUGAGGAAUACCGGCGAGAAAUCGCCGACAAGACCGCAUACGAUUGGCAACAAUCAAAGUUUUGCUUCGCGAGAAGUGAGACGCCACAAGAUGAGCUCGCGCCCGAUUAGCUAGUUGGUGAGGUAACGGCUUACCAAGGCGACCAUCGGUAGCUGGUCUGAGAGGAUGAUCAGCCACACUGGGAUUGAGAACGGCCCAG
rnacentral:rRNA from 1 species